AGGCACGGACCACUGUUGUCUCACAUCAGCUCUCAUAACAGCUCCGGGAAGACCUCCCUCAACCUCACGCCUCGCAUGGAGCAGAUCUAAUUGCUGGACCAUAUUUUGGCCAGGUAGACUGUACAUCUGGUUGCCUGGCAACAUCAUUCAGACGACAAGACAACUAAUUCAGGAUGUCUGAGGGGGCGGAGCCAAAUCAUUACGACAUCAGACUCACCUGGACUGAUCACCUGAGAACUACUUAACCUGUCACUCGGUCUGAUUGAUUCUUCUGUUCUGGUUUUAUCUGGUGUGUUUGUCCAACCUGCAGCUCAGGUCCCUCUCUAUCUCCCCACACAUCCACCAACCACUGGAACACAUCUCCAAAGUUCUGCCAGGCCAGCUCAGCUUCCCCUCAGAAGAAGUGCUGCCACCUGCCAGAUGAAGGAGCCUUUUGAGAGGCAGCUGGCAUCGUGAUUGGACUGUACUUUGGUCUGUUCCAAUCCAGCUUCAGCUCCAGAGACGGCAGGCGGGACGAGUCAACGGAGGCCUGGUGGACGAAGGCAUGCAGCUGAGUACAAUCCAGAAAACAACAGAGGAGGAGUGCAGUGGCCCAGGGCCAGAACAACCAGAGUAGCAUCGUAUGUCUCUUAGAAAACAUCAUAGUAUAGCCUUUGGUAUGAAAAAAACGGCAUCAUAUACAUCGUAUAUUGUACAAAUAACAAGUCAAAGGAAAGAGACAUACAUUGUAGAAUUGUAGUAAUUGUGGGCUGACUGAUUUACUGAUUAUCAGUAUUUUAUUUUUUACUGAUUUACAGUAAUAAAUCAAUUUAAAAAUGGUGCUACUUUGGCUCUGAACCUUUAUCUACCUGUGGUCGCUCUGUCUUCUGGAGUGAUUUGAUUGGUUAUACGUCACGAAUAAAACUCCUUUAACUUAACAUCUGUAAACAAAACAAAAACGUAUCAACAAAGUUUUCUGUUAGAGUUUGUGUUCUUCUAAGUUUAACUCCAAGAUUUUAAAUACUUUCAUUUACUGCAAAUGAAUAUCUACUCCAAAUGUCUCACUAAUAAUCAUUAUCAGCCUUAAAAACCCACAAAACACCCCUCUAUACUCGACCACACUUAGUACAGUCCGGUUCCCCCUUCUAUAAAUCUGCUUGGAAUCUUCCACUUCCUGUUUGUCAAAGUGGCCUUCUACCUGGACAGGUUUUGUUGGAGCUCAUGCAACAAACAUUUUGGGUAACUGCACUUUAACAUGGAUGGAUGACACUGAAUUAGAGUCUGUUUUCAUGAGACUGAGUUAAGAUGUGUAGCUCUGUCAUUAAAUAGUAAAUUAUUUCUCAGAAUUCACAGAGAAAAGUCUGAAAUGUUUGCUAGGUUAGCGUCCCACAUGUUCUUUGGCUCAGCUAAAGCUAACUCUCUCCAACUUGUGGAUCUCUUGAGUUGCUUGUUGUUAAAAUAUCUUGCUAGAGGUGCUGAAGCUCAGAAAGUCUGAGAUGUUUGUUCAAAAUAAGCUCAUUCUCAAGUCUUAUCUGAACUGUCCUCUUUUGUUUGAACUUUCCCUAAACUUAGGAGUUAAUGACAGAGCAGCACAUCCAGACUCAGUCUCAUUUAUGUAGCGAUUAAACUUCAGUGUCAUUCAUUGAUGUUAAAGUGCAGUUUUUCAAAUGUUUGUUGCACAUGCUCCCGACCAAACCAGUCCAGGUGGAAGACGAUGUGAAGAGAAAGCUCCAGAGGAUGAAUAUCACACAUUUACGUUGGAAAUAAAUGUCCUUUAAUUAGACAUUGUCAUGCAAAAGUUGGAUUUCCCUUUAAUGAUGUUCAAAUCUUUGUUGAGUGUUUUGUUGAUGUUGGUUUCUAAAUGUUUUCUGACACUCGGCCCCAAAGAUUAAAACCUUCUACGGCUCACAAGCUGCAACAAUUCACACAUUAUCAACUAUCUUUCUGACUAAACUAAGAUAAAAAGUGAAAAACUGCCUGAUUCCUGCAUCAUGAAUGUAAAUCUUUUUGGUUUUUAUGACAGUAAACUGAAUAUAUUUGGGUUUGACAUUUUAUAAACCAAAACAAGAAAUGAAUUACUGGAAAAAACAAUCAACAGAUUAAUGGACAAAGAAAAUGUGUUUUCCAAUAUAUAUGGCUGAAUUACUCCAACAUUACAAGAUACGUACAAUCUUAAUUCAAUUUUAUUUCUAUAAUGCCAAUUACAGGUCAAAUUGUCUCAAGACGCUUUAUUUUUAUAUUUUUUUGUAUUUUUUAAAAAUAUGACAAAGUAAGAAAUUUAAAGCUCUUGACUAAUCCAAUUUAUUAUUUGUUUUUUAAGAGACUAAUGGACAAUUAAAAUAAGUUUCUCCACUAAAACUAAUAAACAUGAGGUCAAAUAGAAGGAAGAGUUUUAAAUACUGCAGUCCCACCACGACAAGAAUAAAGUUUGUCAAGAAAAACUAAAUCUGCUGAUGGAUUCCAUUAAAGUCCUAAUAAAUGAUAAUAAAGUGUGAUACUAAAGGUUUGUGGUGCUAAAAAUGUCAAAGUAAAGAUAUGAAGUUGAACAUCUGGAUGGAGGUUGAUAAAAGUUGACCUCCCUUCAUUUCUCUGGAGUCGACUCCAUGGAUUUUAUGGAUGGUGGUUAAAGACCUGCUCUUCUAGUCGUCUUCCUUCUAGUCGCUGUAAAAAGUCAGUCCAUCCUCGCCGACUUCAACACCUCUUCAUGACAGCUUGUUCUGCCUCCGACCUCGUGGAAACUCCAGAAACUCGGGAAAACCUGUGGAGACUCGA